rnacentral:rRNA from 1 species
GGCUACCUGGCGGCGUGCCUAACACAUGCAAGUCGAGCGAAUCUCUUCUCUAUCAGGGACGUGGGAUAUAGCGUGCAGGUACCGCGUUGAGUUACCCGUGCCCUGUCACUCACGUGCAUAACAUACGCGUAACGUUUACGUAAAUAGCAGGGAUUAACACCUCAUAGUAUCGUGGCUUUUGUUUCAGAACUCCUGCGGUGCACGAUCCGACUCUGAGUCGGAUUCGCGUCUGGUUAGGUAAUGGGUUACGUAAGGGCCUAUCAAUGCCCCAACUCGUAGGCUACUCGACCGCGCUGUCACUCACACUCGGACCGAACUCCUACCCAAAGUCCCACUGGAGGAUAUUGUGCAAUGUGUUGAACCCUGGUGCAACCCUCCUCCUGCGACACCACGGGCUUCAUGUCGGACAUCUCUUUCCUCAACGCUGACAUUGACGGCACUUGUGGAGGAACCCCCGGCUGAAUCCACGCCUACCUACGCGCCAAUACCCACGGGGC